CUUUAUUUUUGUAGAGAGUGAUGAUCUCGGGAUCUCUCGUAUCCUGUGGAAUUUUCACUUCCAACCAACACGUCUUUAGUAACUUGCAUAAAUGUGGAAGGAGGGCAUCUUUGUUCUCUUUCAAUACUUCAGCAGGUUGUGGGUGCUUUU